AUUCUUCUUCUCAUUUCUCUCUCUCUCUCUCUCUCUCUCUCUCUCUCAUGUUGCAGCCAUCUCCAGUCCAUGGCAACAACAGCAGUACUUUUCCACUUGCUCUCUCUAUCAAAUUAGCAAUCCGCUGCUCAUUGUUAGGGCUUCAAGAGUAUCGGCUAUGACCUUCUAUUACGGAUGGUCUCUAUAUGUGUUUGGCUUCAUCUCACUUAAAUGGCGAGACUGAAAUCUCAGAUCUGUAAGAAAGGUGCAACAAAUUGGUUUUCUUUGUUAACUUUAGGGAAUUGAUUCUUUUCUUAUGUUUGGUUGUUUCUUGAUUUUGUUUUUAGGCUCUUACAUGCCCCUUUUUGUAAGGCAGAUCUAAAUUUUGGGGUUAACCUUUGAAGGUUAGAAACUUAGAAUGUAACUUUUCAUAUUUUUUCAAAAAAGAUGAGUUCUUUUUAUGAUCACUGGAUUAGGCAAAGUUGGGAUAAUUUAGAUUAGUAACUAGGAUUUCAAACUAGGUUCAACAUUGUUCUUUACCUUCCCUAAAAGUAUGCUGGGUUCUUCCAGAAACAUGAGAAAGGCUGGUGGGUUUUAAUUAAACAAUUUCAAGUCAUGUUUUUAUAAAUUGUGUUGGGUUUGGGGUUCUGACCUUAUAAGUCAUGUGAAUUUGUGUGGGUCUUGGGUAUUUUCUUGUUGUUAUCCAAUAGAUUUUUGCUGAAAUGGUUAGCAAUUUAUAUUUUUUCCUUUUAAGACUUUAACUUUCGUUGUUUCUAUUAUCUAUAGAUGUAAGACAGAUAGUUGGAAAACAAAAGAGAAGCCUAAUUGGUUUCUGUUGAUGCAAGAGAUGUUGUACUCUUAUCUUUAGUCAAUAAAGGACUUGUCGUAAGGACAUCACAAAUCAGGGGUCAUUGGAUCUUACACAUCAUUAGAGAAGGUUUGCGAACGAGUUUAUCAGUACUUAGUUGAAGUGAUCAAGUUGGAAGAGUUGCAAGUAAAUUACAUCAUAUCUUAUCAUGUGUGAUGUUUUGUACCAUACUACAUUUCAAUGUUAUAUGCUUGUUCUUGCUAUGGACUUCACAUGUGUAUAUUGCGCAAUUUCACAGCUUUUGCUUGUCCUGUGUGAUUUUCGACUUUGAUUUUCAUAUGGUUUUUGGGUGUGCAAUUAAGUUUCAAUUGAUUUGUUAUAUGCUUUACAGAAGUAGAUGUUCUUAUCAAGCAUUUUUUGGUAGUGUGGGUCUACUGGUUUUGUUGCAGAUCUUAUGUCAUAUCUAGUUUUUUUUUCUUUUCUACUUUUGUAACAAUAUAAGUAAUCUAACACCAAUUUUAAUAUCCUUGUAGCUCAAAAAUUGGGCACUUAAUUUUCUAAUAAGAAACAUGGCUGUUCUUAUCUAGCUCUAUUCUUUCGGCAGUGGAAAACUAGUUCACAAGGUCCAGUGACUAGCCAGGCAUAAAUUGACGUAAGAUUUUUUUGAUAGAUAAGCAUUAUUUUACCUCACUAAUUCGAUGAUAUUAAUUGCAGCAUACGUUUGAUUUUUAUUAACUUGUGCACUUAGUUUAUGUGUUAUAGAUAUAUUUCGUCUGACAGUUUGAACUUUGUACUUUCAGUAUGCUAGGCAUCCAAUCAGAUGAUGAACCACAGUUUACUUAGGUUUGACUAGGUGUUUAACAAAGAAGUUGCUACUGAAGUAAUCUAGCUAUUUGCAAGAUUUGGAAUUAACCAAGUAGUAGAAAAGUUUGAAGUUGAAGGUGGUGUUAUAUUCAUGGCAACUCCAGUCGAUAUGUUGCAACUGGAUUUCUGAAUUUUCAAAAGUUGAAGUCGUCUCCGGAGCUUAACCAGAAGUUGAAGUCGUCACCGGAGCUUAACCAGAAGUUGAAGUCAUUUAGUAGAAAUGCUCAAGUCAUUUAGUAGAAAUGUUCCAGUGUGUAAGUCUUUGGAUUGCUGGUUUAAUGAACUUCGUUGGAGUUAUUUUGCUAUGUAUUGCUGUUUGGUACGCAUUCCUUUGUGGCAGUUGAUGGAAAGGGAUGGAAAUAUCAAAUA